AGGAAAUAUACAUGAACUUUGAGGAGUCCGGACAGAGCUUCUAUUUUGAUCCAGCCAAAAUGUAUUACAGACACUGACAAAGUCGGUGAAGUUUUUUUUUUUUUUGAGUUCGAAGAAAACUGAAGAAGAUAUAAUAAACUUUGCACUGCAACGAUCAGAAGGCCAGGAAAUUAAAAAAACAAAAAGACUUUCACUUAUCUUCUUUAGAAUGCAUGCAGAUUAUAAUUCUCCUUCUGAAUACAAAAACAGUAGUUGAACAUAGAAAGUAGAAACUCUCAAGGCAAAGACUUGUUUUCUUUGGAAUCUCUUUUUCUUUUUAUUGUUACUAUUUUUUUCUUGCUCAAAUGCUUAGUGGAAGACAAGGUCCCCAAUGUCUUUUGCCUAAUCAUUGACUAGUUCUCUCUCAGACAGAUAAGAAAAGAACAAAGAAAAAAAAAAGAAAAGGAUGGAGUCAUGGAGAUGCUCUGCUAAGGACCCUGCUGUUUGGCUUUCCAGGAAGUGUUAUGGAAAGAGGAUGGAAAUCUAUCUUCUUGGUUUAGUUUCUUCUAUGCUUUGCUUUCAUGAUCUUAUCUUUUACUAUUUUGUAAGCUUUUUGAAUAUUAAAAGUUAUGAAUAAAAUAAUUUUUACAAAUAAUUCUAAAUUUGUUAUAAGUAAAAAGUCAAGUAUUGUCCAACCAAGUAAUUACUUGAGCAAUAUGUAAACCUUUAUCAUGAGUAAGAAUAAUUUUAUACAUGUAUUUAUGUCAUGUCAAGGUUCCGACGCAGUAAACAGUAGCUUGAUUAUCCAGCUGAUACAUUCUUUUAACAUCUCUACAUAUAUUUAUGGUCUUUGCCUCAAGACAUAAAGAAAUUAGUGGAGAGUAAUUGACAUAAGUGGCCAUUUUUUAUUGAAUUCAAGGAAAAUGACUUCACAACUUCUAUCAUGACUUUGCAUUGAGUUAUGCUAAUGAAGCACAGUUUUCUCUAUACCAAAUUUACCAUGAUUUCGAAAGCAAGUUCACACCUUCAAUUCAGUUUUUCCUUUUGGUCUUACGGAUUGGAGAAGAAAACUGAUCUAUCAAGAGUUGUCUCUUUUUCUUUAUCAGUAUUUUCUUGAUGAUAUGAUUUUUCGUUGUCAUUUCCUGUCUUCUUGUUGCGUACCCUUCUAUUUUGCUUCAAACAAUUUUUUUUUUUCAUUUUCUCAUUAAUUAAGAAGAUAAAGAUUACCAAUGGGACAUAGACAUCAUUUCUAUCAAACCUUUUGAAUUAUUGAUCUAAUCCCUUUAUUAUUGCGUUUUAGAUUUUUGUCAUUUUGCAAUCAUUUUUCCCUUGGAGGUCCAUUUAUUUCUGACUUUCUUGCUUGGUAGGUUUAAUGGCUUUCAUGGAAAAAUACUUGCCCUAUUUUUUUUUUUUUGGGAUCAAAUUCUGUGUUUAAGGGAUUGAAGCUUUACACUUCGUUUAACACAAGGAAAAAUGGCGAAAUACAUCAAACGAUUCACACAGUGCAAGGAUCAUGUUUUGCAUGGAGAGAAGUAGAGGGUCAAGGUACAUCUCUUUAUAUUUAUGGUCUUUGCCUCAAGACAUAAAGAAAUUUGUGGAGAGUAAGACAACUGGCGAGUUUUUAUUGAAUUCAAGGAAAGUGACUUCACAACUUCUAUCAUGACUUUGGAUUGACUUAUGCUAAUGAAGCAUAGUUUUCUCUAAACCAAAUCUAUCAUGAUUUUAAAAGCAAGUUCACACCUUCAAUUCAAUUUUUCUUUUUGGUCUUACGUCUCUUUUUCUUAAUCAGUAUUUUCUUGGUUAUAUGCAUUUUCGCUGCCAUUUCCUGUCUUCUUUUUGCUUAUCCUUCUAUUUUGCUUCAAACAAUAAUUUUUUUUCAUUUCUCAUUAAUUAAGAAGAUAAAGAUUACCAAUGGGACAUAGACAACAUUACUAUCAAAGCUUUUCAAUUAUUGAUCUGAUCCCUUUAUUAUUGUCUUUUAGAUUUUUGUCAUUUUGCAAUCAUUUUUCCCUUGGAGGUCCAUCUAUUUCUGACUUUCUUCCUAGGUCGGUUCAAUGGCUUUCAUGGAAAAAUACUUGCACUUUUUAUUUUAUUUUUUGGACUAAAUUCUGUGUUUAAGGGAUUGAAGUUUUACACUUUGUUGAACACAAGAAAAAAUGGCGAAACACAUUAAAUGAUUCAUAUAGUGCAAGGAUCAUGUUUUGCUUGGAGAGAAGUAGAGGGUCAAGGUACAUCUCUAUUUUUUGAACCAUCAUUUACAGAUACUUAGGAACGUUUUCCUCCAAGGCUGGUAAUCUAAUACAAGAAAGAAGAUCAUCUAAGCCUAAUUUGUUCUAAUCAAAACUAUUUUGAAUUAAUUUCCACUAAAAAAAUUAAGAGCUUCAAGGAAUAACCCGACCUAUCAAACUUGAUUUAAAUUCAAAAAUGGUAUAGAAUUGAUCAGUGUAUUAAUAUGUUAUAAAUUGUUAUGAAAAUUACUCAAAAACAAUAAAGAUAAAAUUCAGCAAAAUCAAGCAAACAUAAAAAUAUAAAAAUUUACAUGAUUCGACUUGUUGUCUACGUCUAUGGAGUAAAACUGUAAAACCAAGACAAAUAAACCAUAGAAGAAGAGGAUGCAAAUCAAAAGAAAUAUACAUGAACUUUUGAGGAGCUUCUAUUUUGAUCCAGCCAAAAUAUAUUACAGACAUGCACUGACAAAGUCGGUGAAGUUUUUUUUUUUUUUUUGAGUUCGAAGAAAACUGAAGUAGAUAUAAUAAACUUUGCACUGCAACGAUCAGAAGGCCAGGAAAUUAAAAAAACAAAAAGACUUUCACUUAUCUUCUUUAGAAUGCAUGCAGAUUAUAAUUCUGCUUCUGAUAACAAAAACAGUAGU
rnacentral:lncRNA from 1 species